GUCCGGUGUCUAGCCCUUUCAUGCGUGAGUUCCAAAUAUCUCUAACGGUCGCCCCAGCGUGAGUUUUUUUAUGCACGUGAUGUUAGAAUGUUCUCUCCAUUCCAGAAUGUGAUUGAUACGUAACAGUACAUUUUAUCCGCGCUGCCCUCAAACUAAAGCACGCAGCCUGUUUAUAUUUAUAGGUUGUUUUAACUUCAAUUUCAAAUGAUUUUCAAACAAGUUUUUAUUUUCUAAAAACAGUUUGAAUUUAGGUGUGUUACGCCUCCUCAUUCAUUCACAUAAAAAUAGUCAUUUUUACUUUUGCGGAUAAUUACAUUUUUGGGACAUUUCUGACACGGACAAAAUUCCCCAAGCACUACCCAAUUGUUUGUGCAGUUCACGUCUGCAGACAUUUGCUCAUCUCCCGUCAGAACAGGAUCUGCACACGUGUUCACAUUUUCUAUUCCACAUUUCUAUUGUAGCGUACUGUAUGUAUGGAGCAUAAUAUAUUUGUGUAUAUUCUUUAUCACCGCGGACACGUGAGCUACCAUGGCCUUAUGACUCUCAAGUGGUGCAGCGGUCAAAGGCACAGCACAUCAGUACUAGAGGCGUCACUACAGACUCCCUGGUUCAAAUCCAGGCUGCGUUUCCAUCAAAAAACCAGAAACAUUAUUUGUCAAUAUCAUAACUGGAGCUGGACAUCUUUGGAGCUGAAGAAUGAGGACAGCUUUUGUAUGCUAACGUACACUCCUUAACAGUUGUACUGGAUGAAAACACAGCAAGAAAACACAUAUGCCAAUAUGUAAUAUUAAUCUAUUUUAUUGCAGUACUGGUAGUUGGUUCAACAACUUGUUUUACUAGAGGACAAAAACUGAAUAUGCAUAACCCAUAUUUAAUAUCCAUGCAGUGACUGAACAACAACUGCAUUUCCACCCCCAUCUCUAAGGCAUAGUAUCAUGGCUGCAACAACACUGAAUGGCGCAGAGUGGGAGGUUACGUGGUUGACUGCC